AACGAACGCUGGCGGCGGGCCUAACACAUGCAAGUCGAGCGGACCCUUCGGGGUUAGCGGCGGACGGGUGAGUAACGCGUGGGAAUAUGCCCUUCUCUACGGAAUAGUCUCGGGAAACUGGGGGUAAUACCGUAUACGCCCUAUGGGGGAAAGAUUUAUCGGAGAAGGAUUAGCCCGCGUUGGAUUAGGUAGUUGGUGGGGUAAUGGCCUACCAAGCCGACGAUCCAUAGCUGGUUUGAGAGG
rnacentral:rRNA from 1 species